rnacentral:rRNA from 1 species
CCUACGGGUGGCAGCAGUGAGGAAUAUUGGUCAAUGGGCGGGAGGCUGAACCAGCCAAGUCGCGUGAAGGAAGAAGGUACUUAGGAUUGUAAACCUCUUUUGUCGGGGAGCAAAGUCGGACACGCGUCUCCGGUUGAGUGUACCCGAAGAAAAAGCAUCGGCUAACUCCGUGCCAGCAGCCGCGGUAAUACGGAGGAUGCGAGCGUUAUCCGGAUUUAUUGGGUUUAAAGGGUGCGCAGGCGGGGGAUCAAGUCAGCGGUAAAAUGGUGGGGCUCAACCCCGUCCGGCCGUUGAAACUGGUUUUCUAGAGUGGGAGAGAAGUAUGCGGAAUGCGUGGUGUAGCGGUGAAAUGCAUAGAUAUCACGAAGAACUCCGAUUGCGAAGGCAGCAUACCGGCUCCAUACUGACGCUGAGGCACGAAAGCGUGGGUAUCGAACAGGAUUAGAUACCCCUGUAGUC